GAUGAACGCUAGCUACAGGCUUAACACAUGCAAGUCGAGGGGCAGCAUGUAUCUGGCUUGCCAGAUACGAUGGCGACCGGCGCACGGGUGAGUAACGCGUAUCCAACCUGCCCCGUACACGGGGAUAGCCUUCCGAAAGGGAGAUUAAUACCCGAUGAUGUCAGGAGUUCGCAUGUAAACCUGACUAAAGUAUUUACGGUACGGGAGGGGGGUGCGUUCCAUUAGGUAGUAGGCGGGGUAACGGCCCACCUAGCCGACGAUGGAUAGGGGUUCUGAGAGGAAGGUCCCCCACAUUGGAACCGAGACACGGUCCAAACUCCUACGGGAGGCAGCAGUGAGGAAUAUUGGUCAAUGGCCGCGAGGCUGAACCAGCCAAGUAGCGUGAAGGAUGACGGCCCUACGGGUUGUAAACUUCUUUUAUGCGGGAUUAACGUGAGGUACGUGUACCUUCUUGCAGGUACCGCAUGAAUAAGCAUCGGCUAACUCCGUGCCAGCCGCCGCGGUAACAC
rnacentral:rRNA from 1 species